rnacentral:lncRNA from 1 species
CCAUUUUAAAUUUUCCUUUUUAAAACCAAAAAUAUAGACAUUAUCCUUUUAUUAUUUUUAAUUUUUUUUCUUUUUAAUUAAAAUCCCAAAAUUGUCCAAAAUAAGUCCAACAAAAUAGUCCAAAUCCUUAUACACGUUCUGUUCCUUUUCCAUCCCAAUCCAAAUCCAAUUCACGCUUCCUCUGAAACAAAUCCAGUAACAAACAGACGCAUUUCCUUUUUUCUCCUCCACAAGCCACUGAUUUUGUGCUCAUCAGUAACAAAUUCAAGCUUCAAACUCACUCUAUAAAUAGAGACCUGCACAACAAN